CCUACGGGGGGCAGCAGUGGGGAAUAUUGGACAAUGGGGGGAACCCUGAUCCAGCCAUGCCGCGUGUGUGAAGAAGGCCCUCGGGUUGUAAAGCACUUUCAGUGAGGAAGAACGCCUGGUGGUUAAUACCCAUCAGGAAAGACAUCACUCACAGAAGAAGCACCGGCUAACUCCGUGCCAGCAGCCGCGGUAUUACGGAGGGUGCGAGCGUUAAUCGGAAUUACUGGGCGUAAAGCGCGCGUAGGUGGCUUGAUAAGCCGGUUGUGAAAGCCCCGGGCUCAACCUGGGAACGGCAUCCGGAACUGUCAAGCUAGAGUGCAGGAGAGGAAGGUAGAAUUCCCGGUGUAGCGGUGAAAUGCGUAGAGAUCGGGAGGAAUACCAGUGGCGAAGGCGGCCUUCUGGACUGACACUGACACUGAGGUGCGAAAGCGUGGGUAGCAAACAGGAUUAGAUACCCUAGUAGUC
rnacentral:rRNA from 1 species